rnacentral:rRNA from 1 species
GACGAACGCUGGCGGCGUGCUUAACACAUGCAAGUCGUACGGUAAGGCCCUUUCGGGGGUACACGAGUGGCGAACGGGUGAGUAACACGUGAGUAACCUGCCCACAACUUUGGGAUAACGCUAGGAAACUGGUGCUAAUACUGGAUAUGUGCUCCUGCUGCAUGGUGGGGGUUGGAAAGCUCCGGCGGUUGUGGAUGGACUCGCGGCCUAUCAGCUUGUUGGUGGGGUAGUGGCCUACCAAGGCGGCGACGGGUAGCCGGCCUGAGAGGGUGACCGGCCACAUUGGGACUGAGAUACGGCCCAGACUCCGACGGGAGGCAGCAGUGGGGAAUAUUGCACAAUGGGCGCAAGCCGGAUGCAGCAACGCCGCGUGCGGGAUGACGGCCUUCGGGUUGUAAACCGCUUUCAGCAGGGACGAAGCUUUUUGUGACGGUACCUGCAGAAGAAGCACCGGCUAACUACGUG